CCCCCCCACCACCACAUGUCCGGGUCCCAAAUGCCCCCCCCUUUCCAAUGUCCAUAUACAGUGCACUAUAUAGGGAAAAUGGGGAGGCAUUUGGGAUGUGCCCAACGGCUGAUGCUGUGUGGAAAUGGACACUGUUUUAUAUUGGAUGGAUGAGGGCUGGUUAAAAUGGACACACUGUUUUAUAUUGGAUGGAUGAGGGCUGGUUAAAAUGGACACACUGUUUUAUAUUGGAUGGAUGAGGUCUGGUUAAAAUGGACACACUGUUUUAUAUUGGAUGGAUGAGGGCUGGUUAAAAUGGACACACUGUUUUAUAUUGGAUGGAUGAGGGCUGGUUAAAAUGGACACACUGU